rnacentral:rRNA from 1 species
AUUGAACGCUGGUGGCACGCCUAACACAUGCAAGUCGAGCGGCAGCGCGAUAUGUAGCAAUACAUAUUGGCGGCGAGCGGCGGACGGGUGAGGAACACGUAGGAACCUACCCUCGAGUGGGGGAUAACCAAGGGAGACUUUGGCUAAUACCGCAUGAUUUCGAGAGAGCAAAGCUGCCGCAAGGUGGCGCUCGAGGAGGGGCCUUCGUACGAUUAGCUAGUUGGUGAGGUAAGAGCUCACCAAGGCGAUGAUCGGUAACUGGUCUGAGAGGACGACCAGUCACACUGGGACUGAGACACGGCCCAGACUCCUACGGGAGGCAGCAGUGGGGAAUAUUGGACAAUGGGGGCAACCCUGAUCCAGCGAUGCCGCGUGAGUGAAGAAGGCCUUCGGGUCGUAAAGCUCUUUAGGUUGGGAAGAAGAGUGAUGGAGGAAGUGCUAUCACUUUGACGGUACCGACAGAAUAAGCACCGGCAAACUCUGUGCCAGCAGCCGCCGUAAGAC